rnacentral:rRNA from 1 species
AACGAACGCUGGCGGCAUGCCUAACACAUGCAAGUCGAACGAGACCUUCGGGUCUAGUGGCGCACGGGUGCGUAACACGUGGGAAUCUGCCCUUUGCUUCGGAAUAACAGUUAGAAAUGACUGCUAAUACCGGAUGAUGUCGAAAGACCAAAGAUUUAUCGGCAAAGGAUGAGCCCGCAUAGGAUUAGGUAGUUGGUGGGGUAAAGGCCUACCAAGCCGACGAUCCUUAGCUGGUCUGAGAGGAUGAUCAGCCACACUGGGACUGAGACACGGCCCAGACUCCUACGGGAGGCAGCAGUGGGGAAUAUUGGACAAUGGGCGAAAGCCUGAUCCAGCAAUGCCGCGUGAGUGAUGAAGGCCUUAGGGUUGUAAAGCUCUUUUACCAGGGAUGAUAAUGACAGUACCUGGAGAAUAAGCUCCGGCUAACUCCGUG